rnacentral:piRNA from 2 species
AUUCCUAAGGUUGUGAAGUCUCCAUUGGGA